UCAGGAUGAACGCUAGCGGCAGGCUAACACAUGCAAGGUCGAGGGGCAGGCGCGGGGUAGCAAUACUCUGGCGGCGACCGGCGAAAGGGUGAGUAACGCGUGAGCAACGUGCCCGUAUGUGGGGGAUAGUCAUUGAAAUGAUGCGUAAUACCCCGUAACACAUCUCCUCGCAUGAGGUAAUGUUGAAAGAUUUAUUGCAUACGGAUCGGCUCGCGUGCCAUUAGGUAGACGGCGGGGUAACGGCCCACCGUGCCGACGAUGGCUAGGGGUUCUGAGAGGAAGGUCCCCCACAUUGGAACUGAGACACGGUCCAGACUCCCACGGGAGGCAGCAGUGAGGAAUAUUGGACAAUGGCCGGAAGGCUGAUCCAGCCAUGCCGCGUGCGGGAAGACGGCCCUAUGGGUUGUAAACCGCUUUUGCGGGGGAGCAAUAAGGUGCACGGGUGCACCGAUGAGAGUACCCUGCGAAUAAGCAUCGGCUAACUCCGUGCCAGCAGCCGC
rnacentral:rRNA from 1 species